rnacentral:rRNA from 1 species
UGGGGAAUAUUGGACAAUGGGGGGAACCCUGAUCCAGCCAUGCCGCGUGUGUGAAGAAGGCCUUAUGGUUGUAAAGCACUUUAAGCGAGGAGGAGGGUACUGGUAUUAAUACUACCAGGUACUGGACGUUACUCGCAGAAUAAGCACCGGCUAACUCUGUGCCAGCAGCCGCGGUAAUACAGAGGGUGCGAGCGUUAUUCGGAUUUACUGGGCGUAAAGCGUGCGUAGGCGGCUAAUUGAGUCGGAUGUGAAAUCCCCGAGCUUAACUUGGGAAUUGCAUUCGAUACUGGUUAGCUAGAGGGUGGGAGAGGAUGGUAGAAUUCCAGGUGUAGCGGUGAAAUGCGUAGAGAUCUGGAGGAAUACCGAUGGCGAAGGCAGCCAUCUGGCCUAACACUGACGCUGAGGUACGAAAGCAUGGGGAGCAAACAGG